UGAGGAAUAUUGGUCAAUGGGCGAGAGCCUGAACCAGCCAAGUAGCGUGCAGGAUGACGGCCCUAUGGGUUGUAAACUGCUUUUAUAUGGGAAUAAAGUGAGGGACGUGUCCCUUAUUGCAUGUACCAUACGAAUAAGGACCGGCUAAUUCCGUGCCAGCAGCCGCGGUAAUACGGAAGGUCCAGGCGUUAUCCGGAUUUAUUGGGUUUAAAGGGAGCGUAGGUUGUUUGUUAAGCGUGUUGUGAAAUGUAAGAGCUCAACUUUUAGAUUGCAGCGCGAACUGGCAGACUUGAGUGCGCACAACGUAGGCGGAAUUCAUGGUGUAGCGGUGAAAUGCUUAGAUAUCAUGACGAACUCCGAUUGCGAAGGCAGCUUACGGGAGCGCAACUGACGCUAAAGCUCGAAGGUGCGGGUAUCGAACAGG
rnacentral:rRNA from 1 species